rnacentral:tRNA from 1 species
GCUAAUGUAGCUUAAACAAAGCAUACCACUGAAGAUGGUAAGAUAGGCCCGAAUAAGGCCCCGAUAGCA